UCCCAUUGCAAUUGGGGAUCAGGUACAGUCCCAAAUACCAAACUCCCAAUCGUUUCUUCCUUCUCCAUUCCCUGAAUAAGAACAAAAAACAACUCCUCCAUAGAAAGGAUUCGAGAAAAAGAAGGAAAUAGAAGGGAAGCCACCUUGCUAGCUUCCAUUCUUUCUUCUCGUUUUUCUGUAAUAUUUUGUCACAUUAUAUUUCCAGUAAGAGUGGCGGAGAAGUUUGAUGAAUAGAAUUAGGAGCCAGGAAGAGUGAGAGAAAGAAAGAGAGAGAGAUAGCGAGAGGGGUUUUAAUUGGUGUGGUGUUGGGGGAUGGGAUUCUCCACGGAUAAUCUGAAGGGGUUGGUGCUGGCGCUGCUCUCAAGCGGGUUCAUCGGAGCCAGCUUCAUCAUCAAGAAGAAAGGCCUCAGAAGGGCCGCCGCCGCUUCUGGGAUCCGAGCAGGUGUUGGUGGAUAUUCGUAUCUCUUGGAGCCCCUCUGGUGGGCUGGCAUGAUCACAAUGAUCGUCGGAGAAGUCGCGAAUUUUGUAGCAUAUGCGUUCGCGCCGGCAGUUCUUGUUACUCCUCUUGGCGCGUUGAGCAUUAUCGUUAGUGCUGUGUUGGCUCACUUCGUUUUGAAGGAGAAGUUGCACAGUCUUGGGAUUUUGGGUUGUGUGAUGUGCAUUGCAGGGUCUGUGGUGAUUGUCAUUCAUGCACCGCAGGAGAGAGAAAUCAGCUCGGUUCAGGAAAUAUGGAAAUUGGCUACUCAAACGGCUUUCCUGCUGUAUGUGGCUUCGGUUAUUGUAUUGGUGUUCGUGCUAAUUUUCCAUUUUGCUCCACGCUAUGGGCAUACAAAUGUGUUAAUUUACACAGGCAUUUGCUCUUUGAUGGGCUCUCUCUCGGUAAUGAGUGUCAAAGCUCUGGGUACUUCGCUCAAGCUGACUUUUGAGGGUAUGAAUCAGUUAAUUUAUCCCCAGACAUGGUUUUUUAUGCUCGUAGUGCUUACAUGUGUGAUAACACAAAUGGAUUAUCUUAACAAGGCUCUGGACACCUUUAAUACUGCCAUUGUGUCUCCAAUAUAUUAUGUGAUGUUCACCACACUUACAAUCCUUGCGAGUGUCAUAAUGUUCAAGGAUAAUCAUUGCCCAAGAAUCACACCUAACAUGUGACCUAACCUUAGUAAGAAGAAUGCAGCUCUCGUCACACCUCAUUAAUCAACUUAUAUCCUGCUAGCUUAUGGUGAUCAAGGAAGACUGUAGGUCUGCUGCAGGUAGCAUUGACAUGUUCUGUGUUUUUGGCAUCAAUCAGCAGGCUUAUCAUUUGAUGUUUACAUGACUUAACACUUUUAUAUCUGGAAUUUUGCUGAAAUUGUGCCUUGACAUUCAAUUUCCUAGAAGAACUAAUGAUCAGGCUGUCCAUUAGUCCAAACAAUUUAUAGCUUGUCUCCAUUUUACUGAAUACAGCAACGAGAGCACCUUUGUGACACAAGUCAUUGUUGAAGAUGUUUAAUAUGGGCCUAUGUGGUAUGCACCUUUAUUCAUUAUGUGCAUAAGAUUGUCUCUGUAAAUCAGAUAAAUGGAAACACCUUGUAUGCUCUCACCUUAUUUUGACACACAAUUGGGUUUUAUGACACCACCCACCAGUUAGAUUUCUUUUUCUCCAUUUUCCUAUGAGAAGGAUUUCUUUGGGGAGCCUUGUGCUGGAUCUUCAGAUCAUUGCUUAAUGAGUCACUGCAAGUCAAGUUCCAACAUGAUUGCAGGAUUGGGAUGGACAAAGCAUGGGAAGCAUCAUUUCUGAAAUUUGUGGCUUCAUUGUUGUUCUCUCUGGAACCAUUUUAUUACAUGUGACAAAAGACCAUGAUCGGAACUCCUCAAGAAGUAUGUAUGCACCAUUAUCCCCGUCUUUGACUACUAGACUUUGUGGUGGAAAUGGGGAACUGCUGAAGCACAUUGAUGAGGAGAUGGGAUCUUCAGAAGAUAUAUGCUUGAGAAGACAAGAGCUAUACUAGCAACUUGAAACAAAGAGUUAGUCUAUGUCAACAUCCUAGGGUACUAGGAUCUCCAUAUAAGGAUUCCAGUCCGGUGGCUCAAACUUGUAGAAUUGAGUUGAUUGGCAGUUGAAGAACUGAUGAGCAUUCAUGCCAUGUUGCUUCUUGUGAACUGCCACUUGGAGGCUCUUAAAACAGUUUUGUGCUGAUUGCUUGGUGGGAUGAAGAAAUAAUGGCUGGACCUCAGCUUUGCAUUCCAUUGUCUACCGUAAAGUACUCGGAGUUUGUGAGAUUCUGGGGUGAUCUUGCCCAGUGAUGGUUCAUGACUAGGUGGUUGGAAUGAUUUUUUUUUUUUGUGCAUACAUGGGCAUUCAAUUGCCAUAUCAGGAGGGUGGAAUUUCUGGGCAUAGCAUGCAUCAGAAAAUCGACGACUGGAAUUGCUUUGUUCAAGAUUGAUGGGAGAAUUGGAUAGCAGGAUCGGACUUAAGUUCUUGUUUGGUUUCAUUAUUGCAUGUAUAGAAACAAUUGAGGAAUAUCUUAUGCCAGUUUUGAGUUAUUAUUUCCACCAAAUGCACUGGAUAAUGUCAGAUAGAUUUGCUUAUUGAAUGUAUCACUAUCUCAAGCAGUGCAACGACGAUGUGACCGCAUGAUUGAUUUCAAGGUCAAACUAAGCUGCCACAUUAAGUAUAAUCUACUUUGUGGUCCUUAAAAA